AUUGUCAGCAGACUUUAAUUCCACUCCUGAUCAUCUUAACACUGAUUCUUAUCCUGUAUGCUGUGACUGUUGGAUUUGGACUUUACAGAAUUAGACAAUUGAGCAGCAAGCUGAAGGUUCACAAUGAUGCAGGCACAUAUGCUUCUCUUCAGCUCUCUGCUC